UAGGGAAUCUUCCGCAAUGGACGAAAGUCUGACGGAGCAACGCCGCGUGAGUGAAGAAGGAUUUCGGUUCGUAAAACUCUGUUGUUAGGGAAGAAAAAAUGUAUAGUAACUAUAUACAAAAGAGACGGUACCUAACCAGAAAGCCACGGCUAACUACGUGCCAGCAGCCGCGGUAAUACGUAGGUGGCAAGCGUUGUCUGGAAUUAUUGGGCGUAAAGCGCGCGCAGGUGGUUUAGAAAGUCUGAUGUGAAAGCCCACGGCUCAACCGUGGAGGGUCAUUGGAAACUAAUAAACUUGAGUGCAGGAGAGAAAAGUGGAAUUCCUAGUGUAGCGGUGAAAUGCGUAGAGAUUAGGAGGAACACCGGUGGCGAAAGCGGCUUUUUGGCCUGCAACUGACACUGAGGCGCGAAAGCGUGGGGAGCAAACAGG
rnacentral:rRNA from 1 species